GUGGGGGCGGGGAUGGGGACGCAGCGCGGAGUGCUGGAGAGACGCGGCGGCGCUGGCGGAGGAGGCGGCGGCGGGUGGGGGCUGGCUCCUGGGGCCACGGGCGGCGGCCGCAGGGACCGCGGCGCUGAGGGCGGGGGCCGGCCCAGGGCUGGAGGCAUCGCGCCCCGGGGCACCGGGUCCGCGCGCGGCCGCACACACCCACCCGCGCGGCUUCCCGCGGCGGCCCAGGCUCCGCUCAUCCUGCGGCGGGCGGCGCCGUCCUGGGGCGGGAAGAGGAGGCGGUAGAGACUGCCGGAGAAGAUGUCGGGCCAAACGCUCACGGAUCGGAUCGCCGCCGCUCAGUACAGCGUCACAGGCUCCGCUGUAGCGAGAGCGGUCUGCAAAGCCACCACUCAUGAAGUGAUGGGCCCCAAGAAAAAGCACCUGGACUAUUUGAUCCAGGCUACCAAUGAGACCAAUGUGAAUAUCCCUCAGAUGGCUGACACGCUCUUUGAGCGGGCGACAAACAGUAGCUGGGUGGUUGUAUUUAAAGCUUUAGUCACAACACACCAUCUCAUGGUGCAUGGAAACGAGAGAUUUAUUCAGUAUUUGGCCUCUAGAAAUACAUUAUUCAAUCUCAGCAAUUUUUUGGACAAAAGUGGAUCCCAUGGUUACGAUAUGUCUACCUUCAUAAGGCGCUAUAGUAGAUAUUUGAAUGAAAAGGCUUUCUCUUACAGACAGAUGGCAUUUGAUUUUGCCAGAGUGAAGAAAGGAGCCGAUGGGGUGAUGAGGACAAUGGCUCCCGAAAAGCUCCUGAAGAGUAUGCCAAUACUGCAAGGACAGAUCGACGCCCUGCUUGAAUUUGAUGUGCAUCCAAAUGAGCUAACAAAUGGUGUCAUAAAUGCUGCAUUUAUGCUUCUUUUCAAAGAUCUUAUCAAACUUUUUGCCUGCUACAAUGAUGGAGUUAUUAACUUACUUGAAAAGUUUUUUGAAAUGAAGAAAGGACAAUGUAAAGAUGCUUUAGAAAUUUAUAAACGCUUUCUAACUAGAAUGACGCGAGUGUCCGAAUUCCUCAAAGUCGCAGAGCAAGUUGGCAUUGAUAAAGGUGACAUUCCUGACCUCACACAGGCUCCCAGCAGUCUUAUGGAGACCCUUGAACAGCAUCUAAAUACAUUAGAAGGAAAGAAACCCGGAAACAAUGAAGGAUCUGGUGCUCCCUCUCCAUUAAGUAAGUCUUCUCCAGCCACAACCGUUACGUCUCCGAAUUCUACACCAGCUAAAACUAUUGACACAUCCCCACCAGUUGAUUUAUUUGCAACUGCAUCUGCGGCUGUCCCAGUCAGCGCUUCUAAACCAUCCAGCGAUCUGCUGGACCUCCAGCCAGACUUUUCCUCGGCAGGGGCGGCAGCAGCCGCGGCACCAGCACCAGCACCACCUUCCGGAGGAGCCACUGCGUGGGGAGACCUUUUGGGAGAGGAUUCUUUGGCUGCACUCUCCUCUGUUCCCUCUGAAGCUCAGAUCUCAGACCCAUUUGCACCAGAACCUUCCCCUCCUACCACAGCUGCAGAAAUUGCAACUGCUUCCGCUUCUGCCUCCACCACCACAACUGUCACUGCUGUCACUGCUGAAGUGGAUCUCUUUGGAGAUGCCUUUGCAGCUUCUCCUGGGGAGGCCCCUGCCGCACCCGAAGGGGCCGCCGCGCCAGCCCCCCCAACCCCUGUAGCAGCAGCACUUGAUGCAUGUUCAGGAAAUGACCCCUUUGCCCCGUCUGAAGGUAGUGCAGAGGCUGCACCCGAGCUGGACCUCUUUGCAAUGAAGCCACCUGAGACCAGUGUUCCUGUAGUUACCCCUACAGCUAGCACAGCCCCUCCGGUUCCCGCCACUGCUCCUUCUCCUGCUCCCGCCGUUGCAGCUGCCACUGCUGCCACUACUGCUGCCACCACCGCCGCCACCACCACUGCCACCACCUCCGCCACCACCACCACCGCUCCUCCUGCUCUAGAUAUCUUUGGUGAUUUAUUUGAUUCUGCUCCCGAAGUUGCUGCAGCGCCUAAGCCAGAUGCUGCUCCUAGCAUAGACCUGUUUGGUACAGAUGCUUUCUCCUCUCCACCACAAGGGGCCUCUCCCGUGCCUGAGAGUUCGCUCACUGCUGACCUCUUAUCCGUGGAUGCAUUUGCAGCACCAUCUCCUGCAGCCACUGCCUCUCCAGCAAAGGUGGAUUCUUCAGGUGUGAUAGACCUUUUCGGGGAUGCAUUUGGAAGCAGUGCUUCUGAACCCCAACCUGCACCUCAGGCUGCUUCUAGUUCAUCCGCAUCGGCAGACCUACUAGCUGGAUUUGGGGGUUCUUUCAUGGCCCCUUCUCCAUCACCAGUGACUCCAGCUCAGAAUAACCUGCUACAGCCCAAUUUUGAGGCAGCUUUUGGAACAACGCCUUCAACUUCUAGCAGCAGCUCCUUUGAUCCAUCAGUGUUCGAUGGUCUAGGUGACCUUCUGAUGCCAACCGUGGCACCGGCCGGGCAGCCUGCACCCAUCUCAGUGGCACCUCCCAGUCCUGCAAUGGCAGCAAGCAAAGCCCUCGGGAGUGAUCUUGACUCAUCUCUUGCCAGCUUAGUAGGCAAUCUUGGAAUUUCUGGUACCACAUCUAAAAAGGGAGAUCUUCAGUGGAAUGCUGGAGAGAAAAAGUUGACUGGUGGAGCCAACUGGCAGCCGAAAGUGGCCCCUGCAACCUGGUCGGCAGGUGUCCCGCCAAGCGCACCUUUGAAAGAUUGGGCAGUGUUCUAUUGUCAAGGAACUGUACCUCCAACUAGUUCUGUUCCUCCUGUUGCUGGGGCCCCACCUGUUGGACAACCUGGAGCAGGAUUUGGAAUGCCUCCUGCUGGGACGGGCAUGCCCAUGAUGCCUCAGCAGCCAGUCAUGUUUGCACAGCCCAUGAUGAGGCCACCCUUUGGGGCCACAGCUGUACCUGGCACACAGCUUUCUCCAAGCCCUACACCUGCCACUCAGAGUCCCAAGAAACCUCCAGCAAAGGACCCAUUAGCGGAUCUUAACAUCAAGGAUUUCUUGUAAACAAUUUAAGGUAUCUAAUACUGAGCUUUUCCUGUGGGCUUGUAAGAAUGACCUGUGCAAUGCUUAGCUAGUUCAAGCUGCAGUUUUUGUGACUGAAUAGGAAAAAAAUAAUGAGUUUGGAGACUUCAAAUAAGAUUGAUGCUCAGAGUUUCAAAGUGAGCCACCAGUACCAAACCCAAUGCUUACUCAUAACUUCUCUUCCAAAAUGUGUAGCACAGCUGUGAAAGUGAACAUUAGGAAUGUGUACCACCUUAGCUGUUAUCCCUACUCUCAAAAUUGUAGUGUAUUUGGGUUAUUUGUGUGUCGUACGAUGUAAACAAUGAAUGGAUGUUUCCGAUGCCUUUAGUGCUGUUCUGGACCUCGCCCAUGGACGGAUCACGCAGCUGUUGUCUGGUGAGCCAUUUGGAAAGAUGUGUCUGUGUUUUUGAAGGUUUCAAUGUAUAUAUAACUUUUGGACAAAGCUAAACUCUCCCCGUAAAUUCUCUUUUCUUCUGUAUCUCUGUUACAAACAUAGUGUGAUAAUAUCCGAUAGUAAGGAAAACACUCUUAAAUAUACAAAACUUUUUUCCGUGUGGAGUACAUUUUUCCAAUCACAGGAACUUCAACUGUUGUGAGAAAUGUUUAUUUUUGUGGCACUGUAUAUGUUAAGAAAUUUUAUUUUAAAAAAUAUAAAGGUUAACGUCCAUAAUAAAUAUUUCUCCUUGAAGCUACCUUAUCAAGAAUGAAAAAAUCAUAUGGGAAGAAUUCCAUAUUUAAUCAAUGCUAUAUUAAAAUAUAUAUUUUAAUUAUAUUUGACAGGUUUUGCAUCUAAAUUGACCUAUUUAUUCAUUCUUGAUUAAAUGCACUGAAAAGUACAGGUCCGUUUCUACCAUGUCCGUGAAAAUGCAAUUAGAGAUGUGCUAUUUAAGCGAUUACAAGUCACCCUAAGGUGUAUCUGUAAUUUAAAGAUUACUGCAGAUAUUUUUGUUUUAUUGUGGGUUUUAUGUACAUCUGUUAAUUUAGUAUUUCUUUGUGUGUUCUGUAGACUAGUGUUCUUCCAUCCCUCAAUUGAGCUCAGAGUAGCUUUUGUUGUACCAUUGUGAUUAGAAUUUAAACUAAUUCAAAGAAUUGUAUCCUUUACUGUACAUACUGUAUUCUUUAAUUUUUAAUUUGUUGUCAUACUGUCUGUGCUGAUGGCUUGGCUUAAGAUUUUGAUGCAUAAAUGAGGUCACUGUUGAUCAGUGUUGCUAGUGGCUUGGCAGCUCUUCGUAAAAGCAUAUUGGGUUGGAAAGGUGUUUGCCUAUUUUUCCAAUUAUUUAAUAGAUGUAUGGUACCAUUUAAAAGUGGUUGUAUCUGAAUUACUGUGGGGAUAACAUACACUGUAAUGGGGAAAAAUUACCUAAAACCAAUUUCAAAAUGGCUUUUCUUUGUAUUUCAGUUUAAAAACCCAGUGCAUGUACGCCCUCUGAGAUGCAAUAAACACCUUGAACAAAGAAAAUGCAAA